GUCGGUCUCAGGUGGGGCGGCAGCGGUGGCGGCCGGGCCCCAGUUUUCACUCUUGAAAGGCGUCAGGCAAAGCAGUUCGAUUAUGCCUUGGGAAAGCUAAAAGAAGAAAAAAAAGAUCUAAAUUUGUUUUCUUCUUGAGGAAAAAAAAAGAAGCAAACCCAGACAUUAGUCUCAACUUCACCGCACUUGACAUAAAAUGACUUUUGGCGUUUCCAGAUACCAAAUCCACACUCAGAAGGUAAAGAGGAUUUGC